UGAUGAACAUGUUUACAUUUAUUAAAACACUGUAGCAGGUUUUUAUGAUAUAUUUUUCUUGACCUCACUAUUGAUCCUGCUGAUUGCAGUGUGACAUUAGUAUUGCUCUCUUAUGGGAUGAAGAAAAAGCAGUGAACUGGGUUACUUUAAUGUGUUACAACAUUCAGUAUUCGGAAACAAUGUCAGAGACAUAGAAUUAUCAAAGUAGGAAAAACCCCAAACUCGACGUUUUAUUUAAACUAACCGGGUUAUUCACUAAAGUGAGAAUUCAAAGUGAAUCUUAAAUUUAAGGUGAAAUUUCAAAAUUUAAGUUGUAAAUAGUCGAACUGGAAAAGUUCUCAAAGUCAUCCAUGCUUUUACUUCGAUUAUUCUGGACUUGAAAUGUACUUUUAAUUCUCAAUUUAGCCACUAGCCCUGUCAGAAACAUAGAAACAUAGAAUGUGACGGCAGAUAAGAACCAUUCGGCCCAUCUAGUCUGCCCAAUUUUCUAAAUACUUUCAUUAGUCCCUGGCCUUAUCUUAUAGUUAGGAUAGCCUUAUGCCUAUCCCACGCAUGCUUAAACUCCAUUACUGUGUUAACCUCUACCACUUCAGCUGGAAGGCUAUUCCAUGCAUCCACUACCCUCUCAGUAAUAGUCAGUGAAUUGAAAUCAGAAUUGCAACAUUUAGGAUAAUAUAGCCAAACUGCAGCUAUUGCUAUAUUGGAGAAUGUUUUCAAAUCAGCUAUUUUAGCCUGAUUUUAUUUUUUUUUAACAUUUCUGUUGGCUCCAAUAGGCGCAUGUGUGUUCCAAAUAUUGUCUGUUGCACUAAACAUAUCUUCAAAGUGUGAAUUAGCACAGGAUUACAGUUUUUUCCAUCACUACUGCUGUUAGGACUAAUAAAGAGUUCGGCAGAGAGUGGUAAUCUACCACAGAGAAACAAAGAGAAUUCCCUUACAUCAACAGAGGAAUCCUUCAUCUAUAUAUGGCAAGAUGGCGCAGUUAGUUAAAGAGACACUAACCAACCAUCUAGUUAGUAGAUAUAUCUCGAAUGAAAACAAGCAUGUAUUUAAUUAUACAUUUCAUCAUCAGGAGUUCCGAUAAUCCUCUGCCAAUCGGCAGGGCACUUGGACCAAACUCAGUUAAAGGGCCGAGGUUGGACACCCUUUUUCUAAAUGCUUCCCAUUGUUGAUUUCUGUGUUUUUCUCAAGUUAGUUAAAGAGACGCUAUAACCAACCACCUAAUUAGUAGAAAUACCCCGAAUGAGAACAAGCAUGUAUUUAAUUAUGAAUUUCAUCAUCAGGGGUUAUUUCUAUAAAAAGCUUGCAAUAGCUUCAGAUCUCUUGUCUAUUUACUGGUUUAUUGAAGAAAGUAUGAUGCCCUAUCAUUCAUCCUCAGCCCAGACUUUCUGUGGCUGUCCAAUCACAGAUUUCCCAAUGCAGCUCAAUGAGAAGUCUUUGCAAGACAGGUGCUCAGAGAUCCCCUGGACUGUAAGGAAGGGGAGGCAUGACUGCUGCCACUCAGUAAGAGGUGUGGAUUUAUGGGAUAUAAUUGUUGCAAUAUGGAGGACAGUAUAAGUGUGUGUGCAAGGGGAGGAUACUCACCAUUCCCAUAAAGAAAGGCAGGAACAGGUUUUCUCUUACCUCACCUUCUUUCCAUAUAAAAAAAAUAAAAAAAAUCAGAAGCUUUGUAAGGACAGUAUUACCUGUAGUUACCUGCUUGCUUUGAUUACUUUAAGAUGGCUGCAGUGUCUAAGGAUGCCCUCAUUGGGAUGCUGCAGGCUUACCUGUCUUAUCAUGGAGCUGGCUGUCUGGCUGAGGUGAUGGCCGGUGUGCCCCACGAGGUGAGAGGAGAGGACCUGCAGGAGGCGGAGAGCCCAUCGCUGGUGAGUGGUAGGAGGCCUAGGCGGUUUAGGCCUCCUACUCGUCUUUCCCCAAGCCCAGUUUAGACAAGGUGGCGGUGAGGUGGCUGGUCCGGUCGGGAGACUCACAAGGAUCGAUGAUGGCGUGGUGAGCAGUGGAUCCCAGGCUGCCAGGAGGCGGCUGCGGGCUGCAAGAAGGUCGGUGAGUUGGGCCCAAGAUGGCAGUGCACGGUAAGAUCGCUCGAGGAGUCCCCCUUCUUUUCCGGCCAUACCGGAAACGAGGUGCGCACGCAGGAUGGCAGGACAGAACGUGAUGGCGCUUGCAGUGGUGUGCGGCGUGCACAUGAUGACGUCACGUGCACAUACAUCACGGAACCCGGAAGUGUCUGAAAUUCAUCGCCGGGAAGGAGCUGCAGCCCAUGACAGGAGGCACCGGGGGGCCGGCUCCUGGCUGAUGAAGGCUCUGGAGGAAGACGGAGAAUGGUCACUACCAGCAGCCCAGCAGGUAGUGGACCCAGCAGCUGGCGGACCGGCCGGCUGCCAGCAGAUCCAGAGGAGUCGGAGUCAGGAUGACUCAGAUGAGCAGGACCACCAGGGACAUCGUGGCGACUGCCCUGGAGAGCGG